GCCGACGUGGCGAAAUGGCAGACGCGAUAGAUUUAGGAUCUAUUACUUGAAAAAGUGUGGAGGUUCAAGUCCUCUCGUCGGCA
rnacentral:tRNA from 1 species